GGUUACCCGCGACAGGACGGAAAGACCCCAUGGAUUUACUGUAGUUUGAUAUUGAGUGUCUGUACCGCAUGUACAGGAUAGGUAGGAGCCGUAGAAAUCGGAACGCUAGUUUCGAUGGAGGCGCUGGUGGGAUACUACCCCUGCGUUAUGGCCACUCUAACCCGCACCACUAAUCGUGGUGGGAGACAGUGUCAGAUGGGUCAGUUUGGACUGGGGCGGUCGCCUCCUAAAGGUAACGGAGGCGCCCAAAGGUUCCCUCAGAAUGGUUGGAAAUCA
rnacentral:rRNA from 1 species